GUUGUUAUAGGCCCUUUUUGCUGAGUUCUGCAUGACUGUUCUACAUGAGAUAUAGAAGUUAAGGGGAAAAAAUAUUAAAGAUGCAUAAGGAAAAGCUAUCAGAAAUGUGCCCAGAUUUCACAUUACCUUAUGGAAAGGAUAGAGGUUGGCAUUUUCACUAGUACCUAAGCCUAUUCCAGAAAUUUCCAGGAUUUUGCAUCACAUCAGAAAUCCCUAAUCCUCAAAUGAAGAUUCUGCCCGAUAUCCAACAAAACACUCAAGACUCAGCCUCAAGUGUUUGGAAACCAGAUCCAAAAAUAGAGGAAUAAUUUUCCUAUCAUGAAUUAAUCUCAUUUGAAAAUGAUUUUAAAAAUACAGUUUAUGCAAUGCAAAUCCUCACUCCCAGAAUAACCUGUAUUUGUGGUUGUUAUGCCAGAGUCAAGAGAUAAAUUACUGCUCAGUGAGCUGUUUCAGCAUGGCAACGUGAACUGCAGCUAGGAUUAACGAAACUGAUGAAGCAUAACAUACCAUGAAAGAAAUGAAAACAUUUUAUAGGACACAUGGGUAUUAUUGACAGGUUUCUACUUUUUAGAUACAAUGAACUCUUUCAGCAGGAGAUCCUAUUUGAAAAGUAUCCUUUAUUAGAAAUUUAUAUGCCACAUUUAAAAGUAUUCACACUUUCAGUCCCCACGUUAUUAUGCGUUAUAUAACACAUUUCAAUUUAAUUGGAGUAACAUUGUGUUGUGAUGCUGAAUGUUUAAUGGAGAUAAUAUUUUAGCUUUGUAGGGCAAGUUACACUUGUUUGAAGAUGAGACUUCCUAGGAUUUGUAAUUGGUAGUACAUAGUUCUUUGUAGGUAGAAGUAUAUCGAAACUAUGUCAGAUGAGGCCUUAGAAAAUCCAAGUCCUUUAACAGGUCAAGCCCUAACAAAAUCUUACUAAAGCUAUUACUAUCAAACUUUAUUUGGCUCUGAUCUAAAGAAAGACAACUUUCUUCAGACUUCUGUAUCUACUUAAACCCCCACAACUUUAGGAAUCUCUGGAGCUGUAUGGUAUUGCAUAUGCUCAGCAAAUGUUAGGAAAUAGCUUGGUAAAAUAAUACUCAUACACAAAGACUGUCAAACUGAAAAAGACAGUUUUUAGCAUUAGCAUUCUACUGUAACAAUAGCUAAAUAUUUCUUCUUCAGGAGUUUUGCUUUCUCAUUUCUUUCUUGAAGUAGUGAAAGGUUGAGGUAGAUUGAAACUAUGCUCUCAAAAGUAAUCAUGUGUUGGUAGAAAAUGAUGGGGCAUCUUUGCUUUCUGUUCCUCCUGGUAUCACAAAUUGGAAAAUUUUGUAGUUAAAGUGCAACCAAGAUCCAGUCUCUAUCGAAGCUGUGG